CGCUCAGAUUGAACGCUGGCGGCAGGCCUAACACAUGCAAGUCGAACGGUAGCACAGAGAGCUUGCUCUCGGGUGACGAGUGGCGGACGGGUGAGUAAUGUCUGGGAAACUGCCCGAUGGAGGGGGAUAACUACUGGAAACGGUAGCUAAUACCGCAUAACGUCGCAAGACCAAAGUGGGGGACCUUCGGGCCUCACACCAUCGGAUGUGCCCAGAUGGGAUUAGCUAGUAGGUGGGGUAAUGGCUCACCUAGGCGACGAUCCCUAGCUGGUCUGAGAGGAUGACCAGCCACACUGGAACUGAGACACGGUCCAGACUCCUACGGGAGGCAGCAGUGGGGAAUAUUGCACAAUGGGCGCAAGCCUGAUGCAGCCAUGCCGCGUGUAUGAAGAAGGCCUUCGGGUUGUGGAGUACCUCAGCGGGAGGAAGGCGGUAAG
rnacentral:rRNA from 1 species